rnacentral:rRNA from 1 species
UCGGAUUAGGUAGUUGGUGGGGUAAAGGCUCACCAAGGCGACGAUCCGUAGCUGGUCUGAGAGGACUGCUCAGCCACACUGGGACUGAGACACGGCCCAGACUCCUACGGGAGGCAGCAGUGGGGAAUUUUGCACAAUGGGCGCAAGCCUGAUCCAGCCAUGCCGCGUGCAGUGAUGAAGGCCUUCGGGUUGUAAAGCUCUUUUGUUAGGGAGGAAAAGGUUUGUCCUAAUAACACGAUGCUCAUGACGGUACCGUAAGAAUAAGCACCGGCUAACUACGUGCCAGCAGCCGCGGUAAUACGUAGGGUGCGAGCGUUAAUCGGAAUUACUGGGCGUAAAGCGUGCGCAGGCGGUUAUGUAAGUCAGAUGUGAAAUCCCCGGGCUCAACCUGGGAACUGCAUUAGUGACUGCAUAGCUAGAGUGCGGCAGAGGGGGAUGGAAUUCCAGGUGUAGCAGUGAAAUGCGUAGAUAUCAGGAGGAACACCGAUGGCGAAGGCAGUCCCCUGGCCAUGUACUGACGCUCA